UUAUUUUUUCGUUUCGUUGACAACUACAAGGAGACUCGAUUAUUUUAUUGCUAAGAAAUAAUUUUAAGGACUCGUAAAUAUUUUCGUAUUUUCUGUCGCGGUUAAAGGUUUCUCCAAAUGGACCCAAAAUAAAAUUUGUUUCAACAGAAAACUAAAUUCAUUGAACUGAAUAUACACAAACAAGGAUGACAUUUCGAUUUAUAUAGAGCCUUGGAAGAAAAAAAAAAGUUAUUGACUUGUAUACAAAAUUAAUUAUUUGGUACUCUAUCCAUGCUAAUGUCACGUUCCCCAAAGAGGAGACAUCAACCCGAUGCACAUCGACAAGAUUGAAUAAUUUGGUACUGAGCAUUCAUGAAGCUGCCACCAUGCCUUACAUUUAUAUGUGAUGUCAGAAUUUGUAUUCCCAAAAUGUAAGCUUGAGCGAUAAUCUCUCAUGUUAACGUCAUGUACUCACUCGCCUCCUUUUUUUUUUAGAAAAAGGAAAUUUUCAUCAUGACGCAUUUCAUCAUCCACAUUCAUGGUGUAUCGGUCGGUCGGUCUGUAUGUCGGUUGGACAGACGGUUGUUCCGAAGGACGACGGAAGUGUACUGGUAAAAGUUUCAUUUUUUAUUACAUUUUAUUUUUUUUUUUUUUAAUACAAAGCAAGAUAAGAAAAAAAAAAUAAAAUAAAAAUUACAAUAACAUAACUAUUUUAUAAAUUUACUUUUGUUUUUUGUUUCUUUUUACUUUUGUUUGUAUUAUUAAGUGAAUUUCAUAUUUUGUUUCUUUUUUGACAUUUUAUUAUUCUCUCACACUUAAUUUUUAAUUAAUUUAAAAAAAAAAUCUCUUUUUUCUUAUGUAAAUUUAAAUGAUAUAUAAUUUAAAAAAAUAUAUAUAACUUGAUAUAUUUUAUGUGUUUUCUUGUUUAAUUUUUUGUUCAUUUUAAUUUAAUUUUUUUUUAUUAUUUAUUUUUCUGUAUACUUAAAUGUAUAUAAAAAAAUGUAAAAAAUAGAAAAUAAAAAUUUAAAAAUAAAAAAAUUAUAAGUUAUAAGACAAAUUAUGUGUGUGUAAAUAUUUAUAAUAUUAAAUGGAAAACUUAGUUAAAUCUUUUGUAACUUAUAUAUUUUUUUUUAUAUCUUCUCGGUGAAUAUUAUUUAUUUUAUUUUUUAUUGUUUCAAAAAUUAAACAAG